AAAACUUAGAACAGCGUGCGUGUGUGUGUGAAUAAUUGACUAUAGAUAGAUUUAUAGUCCUCCUGUUAUUUUCGACCUCUUGGAUUCUCUUGCUGGCGUAUGUUAGUCAUUUUUGGUGAUAAAUGUAAAUGGAACCCCAGGUCCACCAAGCCUGGAAAGUUGGUGCACCACCUCAGGUCAGUACGGUUAGGUCAUCACGUGAUGGACAUAAGCUUGGUGGGUUGUUUGGGCUGUUUUUAUCAGAUUCAACUUUUAUUUACUAGGUGGAUAGGAUAUGAGUAGACAUAAUAAUAUCUAAUAAAAAAUGUAAAUUAUUAGUAAUACAUUACAUAAUAUCGACAUCUAUACUAGUUUAGUAGUAAACUCUAUUGACAAAAAAAGAUUAAAAAAAACAUGGGUAGGGUAGGGUAGGGUAGGGUAGGGUAAAUGGAGCUAUUUUUCAUUGUUUACUUGCUGUGGUAAAAAAGUAAUAGUAUUUCUUUCUAAUAUGAGAAGUUGGUGUUUGUUUUGUUUGCAGAGUUUGGGAAAUGUGAAUUCCCCACUGGCACCGGAUACUGAAGUGAAAAGCAAAGAGUCGGGGGAGUAACAACACGUAUCUGGUGUUUUGGUUGUCAAAUUUUUGGUGUUAGAUCAUGGUAGGGGUAGGGGUAGGGGUAGGGUAAAUUGGAUUGGAUUAGUUUUGUGUAUAAUUAACAAAAUGCAGUUGCUACUAGUCUAAUAUAUAUGUUGGUUGUUGCUACCAAUAUUUGUUAUUAGUUUGUUGCUGCUAAUAAUAUUUCUUUUAUUCCAAAAACGACUAGUAUUUUAUUAAUAAGAGUUUAGAGUUUAUUAAUUAGAGUUUAGGGUUUAUUAAACUUAAAUUUUAGAUAAUAAAUUCUAAAUAUUUAUCAUUCGUUUUUAAUAGUAGCGAUUUUUAUUUUUUAAUUUUAAAUGUUGUUUUUUGUUUUUAAUGGUAUUCCUAUAAGAAUUAAUUUUUUGUUGUCAAUUUGCAAAAUUAUAAAUUUUAAACUUGAUACGAAUGCGUUCAAGUUUUAAAAAUAACCACAGAUAUAAUGUCUAAUGAAAUGAUUACCUAAUUCAGUCAAUCGUUUAGAGUGACUGUUUGAUUAAAAAAAACAUUCCUCCGCCAAGUUUUACAAUAGUAACAUCUUCACCCCAACAAACCAAACCCACACAUAAAUGCUGCAUCUCAACAAUGACCAGGUUUUUCUCUCAUUGCCAAAAUCUCCAAUAAUUUGAAGUGAAGUUUAUUUUUAAGUCAGUUGGUCAAUUAGUCAAUACGGUGUUAACACGCAG
rnacentral:lncRNA from 1 species